UCCCUAGUAGCUUAAUUAGUAAAGAAUCUGCCUGCAAUGCAGGAGACCCUGGUUCGAUUCCUGGGUCAGGAA
rnacentral:tRNA from 1 species